rnacentral:sRNA from 1 species
GUCCCUGUCCCGAGGGGCAGGUUGUGGCGGGGCAGUGAUCCAAGCACCUCUUGCACAGGCCACGAAUGGCGGCGGCAGCGCCUUCAGCGACUACUCGUCCUCAGUCCCCUCCACCCCCAGCAUCAGCCAGCGGGAGCUGCGCAUCGAGACCAUCGCUGCCUCCUCCACCCCCACACCCAUCCGAAAGCAGUCCAAGCGGCGCUCCAACAUCUUCACGCUAAUGAACCGGCGGCCGGAAGGCUGUUUGCCCAAGGCGACACAGAGGGUUAGCUGGCCCAGCUAGAGUCAGAGCCCAGGCCUCCCCGUCCGCCUUCCGGCUCUUUUUCCGUUACCCCACUGCCGAGGGGAAAAUUCAUGCUUUCCACCCACCGCUGUGAUUGGUUUAACAAAGGCUUAGCCAUCUUUUCCUGGGCUUCACCACGCUGCCUCGUU